rnacentral:rRNA from 1 species
AUGGUAGUCGUUCACUUAAUGGUCUUGAAGGAUUCGAAGGGGUACUUGGCGGUCUUCGGACUUGUCGGUCUCGUCCUUGUGACGGUAGUCGAACUUGAAGUUUUUGGUUCAUAUGUCUUCGGCGUCGGUAGUCGUACACAUAUCGUAGAGGAACUUGGUCUUGCGAAGAGGUACUUGACGCUUUCGGGGGUCGUCAUGUCAUGGUACUUGGCAAAAUCCUCGAAGAAGGUGCUUGACGGUCCGAGUACGGUCUUGGCGUGUCGUUCUUGCCAAUCCAAAACCCAGCGAAACGAAAAGACCUCAGGCGGGCAGCAGCAAGGAGGCGAUGGCGCACGCACUGGACAUGGGGGCAGGGCGAGGAGAAGGCGCACAGCUCGGUGA